UGGGGAAUCUUCCGCAAUGGACGAAAGUCUGACGGAGCAACGCCGCGUGUAUGAUGAAGGUCUUCGGAUUGUAAAGUACUGUCAUUGGGGAAGAACGGUUUUCUUGAAAAGAUUGAGAAGACAUGACGGUACCCAAGGAGGAAGCCCCGGCUAACUACGUGCCAGCAGCCGCGGUAAUACGUAGGGGGCAAGCGUUGUCCGGAAUUAUUGGGCGUAAAGGGCGCGUAGGCGGGCCUUUAAGUCCGGUGUGAAAGAUCAGGGCUCAACCCUGAGAGUGCAUCGGAAACUGGAGGCCUUGAGGACAGGAGAGGAAAGUGGAAUUCCACGUGUAGCGGUGAAAUGCGUAGAUAUGUGGAGGAACACCAGUGGCGAAGGCGACUUUCUGGACUGUAACUGACGCUGAGGCGCGAAAGCGUGGGGAGCAAACAGGAUUAGAUACCCUGGUAGUCCACGCCGUAAACGAUGAGUGCUAGGUGUAGAGGGUAUCGACCCCUUCUGUGCCGCAGUUAACACAAUAAGCACUCCGCCUGGGGAGUACGGCCGCAAGGUUGAAACUC
rnacentral:rRNA from 1 species